AAAAAAAGUAGGCGCUGGCGGCAAGCACCUUCGAUUUGGGAUGAACUCGGAAACACAGGAACGUGGAUCUCACAACGGACUUUGAUUUUAUCACGCCAUGGGUGCUGCCUGAUCCUGGCAGUCAUUUCGAGGAGCCGGGCUUGUUCUCACUGUUCUAGCGCAAGCAUCUCCUCCAAAUAAGGGGGCAGUUGCUGUGGGAGGUGGCAGCAAAUGCAAUGAAACGACUGCGUUAUCGCGCUCCUCAGGGGCCUGACCAGCCCGCCGUCAUCCGAGCGCCGACCAAAAAGCCUACCCACGUCAGCUACCUACCUGAAAGCC